GGAUGUGAGGGCGAUCUGGCUGCGACAUCUGUCACCCCAUUGAUCGCCAGGGUUGAUUCGGCUGAUCUGGCUGGCUAGGCGGGUGUCCCCUUCCUCCCUCACCGCUCCAUGUGCGUCCCUCCCGAAGCUGCGCGCUCGGUCGAAGAGGACGACCAUCCCCGAUAGAGGAGGACCGGUCUUCGGUCAAGGGUAUACGAGUAGCUGCGCUCCCCUGCUAGAACCUCCAAACAAGCUCUCAAGGUCCAUUUGUAGGAGAACGUAGGGUAGUCAAGCUUCCAAGACUCCAGACACAUCCAAAUGAGGCGCUGCGCGGGGCAGUCUGCCUUUCUUU
ensembl:misc_RNA 7SK 7SK RNA